rnacentral:lncRNA from 13 species
GCCACUCCUUCAUGUGACUGAACAGAGACCUUUCCCAGCACUUGCCAAGGAGAGCAGAGCCCUGGAUUUACCUCCUGCGCACCCGGGCACCCCCAGCGCAGGCACUGUGAGGUCAUCAGGCUUCCUGAUCCCUCUUGUCUUGGUCCCAGACUUCUCAGAGCUUCUGGAGCACCUCUGGGCACAGUCACAUGUUCUUUGCUGCGUGACUUGAAGAUUCCAGUGACAGAUGGAUCUCUCUCGUGCACACUUGCUCUUUCCCUCUCUGUAUUUUUGUUUUCGACAUGUUUGAUCCAAAGCUCUGAAGCAUCUCAGAGGGAACCCAGGAAAGAAGGAAGAGAAGGAGUAGAAACCAAGGGAGCGUGAGCGACGCAGGAGGCAGCCCUGCCUUGUUCUUCCAAAUCACAUUGUGGAGGGUUGGGGGAAGACUACAGGGGGGAGGACUUGGGUUUGUUUUGGGGUGGGUUUG